AACGAACGCUGGCGGCAUGCCUAACACAUGCAAGUCGAACGAGACCUUCGGGUCUAGUGGCGCACGGGUGCGUAACGCGUGGGAACCUGCCCUUAGGUUCGGAAUAACUCCCCGAAAGGGGUGCUAAUACCGGAUAAUGUCUUCGGACCAAAGAUUUAUCGCCUUUGGAUGGGCCCGCGUUGGAUUAGCUAGUUGGUAGGGUAAAAGCCUACCAAGGCGACGAUCCAUAGCUGGUCUGAGAGGAUGAUCAGCCACACUGGGACUGAGACACGGCCCAGACUCCUACGGGAGGCAGCAGUGGGGAAUAUUGGAAAAUGGGCGAAAGCCUGAUCAAGCAAUGCCGCGUGAGUGAUGAAGGCCUUAGGGUUGUAAAGCUCUUUUACACGGGAUGAUAAUGACAGUACCGGGAGAAUAAGCACCGGCUAACUCCGUG
rnacentral:rRNA from 1 species